rnacentral:lncRNA from 1 species
AACCAAUGAGUGUGGAGACACUGGUAUGACAUACAGGUGAGAUGUAAGGGUACAUCUGCACUGAACGUGACCGACUCCGGAGCUAUUUCUGCUGUCAAGAUUUGCUCUGAUGGAAUAUGGGUAUAAAUAUCCCUCCGACCUGAGAUCGCUACGGUGACUUACAAGCAACUCACUGCACUUAGGCACUGGACUACCUGAAUUUCUAAUUCAGUGACGGAAGGCUGCUGGGUGUAGUCAAGUACUUGACUUGUCGGUGCGUAUGUCAAGAUGGGAUUGACCACUCCAGUUUAGGAGCUAUGUACAGUCGUAUUUCAAUUUAGCAAAACCUUGGCUAGGGUAGUCUUUGUGAGGAGUCACAGGACUGUUUGAGUUGAGCAUGAUUCGGAUGAUCUAAUCAGGGUUGAUAGUUUAACCCUGAGUCGUCCUAAACACAGAGGUCAAAAUGAUGAAUUAUACCGUAACCAUAUUCACAUAGGUUCUGAGUGUUGUGAUUGUGACUAUUUGACCUAUCCAGUCGUCAGGUACCAUUGCUAGAUGGUCACUUCGAUUAGUAUAGAAAUUGGUUCCUGUGCUACCGGCUUAGGUUCGAACUUGCGGGGUCACACACAUUAGAGGUUCUUAUCUGAUCUGAUGCCUGAUGAAGAGUCCUAAUGCUCAUGGACUAUGAGUCCUACAUGUUUGAGACUUUGUGAUUGAGAAUUAGGAUUCUCUGAUCAUGAGUCUCACACAUUUUGGGUACCGGG